rnacentral:RNase_P_RNA from 1 species
AGAGUUAGCUAGACAACCACUGUUCUGUUAUUUGUUACUAUCAGUGAUUGGAUAAUAGAGGGGAGGAAAGUCCGGGCUCCAUAGGGCAGGGUGCCAGAUAACGUCUGGGGAGCAAAAGCUUACGACUAGUGCAACAGAGAGUAAACCGCCGAUGGCUAUUAAGCACAGGUAAGGGUGAAAGGGUGCGGUAAGAGCGCACCGCGCAACUGGCAUCAGUUUGCGGCAUUGUAAACUCCACCCGGAGCAAGGCCAAACAGGGAUCACAGAUGCGGCCCGUAUCGAACCCGGGUAGGCUGCUUGAGACAGUACGCAAGUGCGGUCCUAGAUGAAUGGUUGUCUACGACAGAACCCGGCUUAUCGGCUGAUUCAAAAC